rnacentral:rRNA from 1 species
GACGAACGCUGGCGGCGUGCCUAAUACAUGCAAGUCGAACGCAGUGGGGACGGGUGAGUAACACGUGGGUAACCUCCCAUCAGAGGGGAUAACACUUGGAAACAGGUGCUAAACCCCAAACUGAUGGAUGGACCGGGGGUGCAUUAGCUAGUUGGUGAGGUAACGGCCCACCAAGGCCACGAUGCAUAGCCGACCUGAGAGGGUGAUCGGCCACACUGGGACUGAGAAACGGCCCAGACUCCUACGGGAGGCAGCAGUAGGGAAUCUUCGGCAAUGGACGAAAGUCUGACCGAGCAACGCCGCGUGAGUGAAGAAGGUUUUCGGAUCGUAAAACUCUGUUGUUAGAGAAGCGGUAUCUAACCAGAAAGCCACGGCUAACUACGUGCCAGCCGCCGCGGUAAUAC